rnacentral:rRNA from 1 species
AACGAACGCUGGCGGCAUGCCUAACACAUGCAAGUCGAACGAAACCUUCGGGUCUAUUGUCGCACGGGUGCAUAACGCGUGGGAACCUGCACUUAGGUUCGGAAUAACUCCCCGAAAGGGGUGCUAAUACCGGAUAAUGUCUUCUGACCAAAGAUUUAUCGCCUUUGGUUGUGCCCGCGUUGGAUUCGCUAGUUGGUAGGGUAAAAGCCUACCAAGGCGACGAUCCAUAGCUGGUCUGAGAGGAUGAUCAGCCACACUGAGACUGAGACACGGCCCAGACUCCUACGGGAAGCAGCAGUGGGGAAUAUUGGACAAUGGGCGAAAGCAUGAUCCAGCAAUGCCGCGUGAGUGAUGAAGUCCGUAGGGUUGUAAAGCGCUUUUACCCGGGAUGAUAAUGACAGUACCGGGAGAAUAAGCCCCGGCUAACUACGUG